rnacentral:rRNA from 1 species
UAGGGAAUCUUCCGCAAUGGACGCAAGUCUGACGGAGCAACGCCGCGUGAGUGAAGAAGGAUUUCGGUUCGUAAAACUCUGUUGUUAGAGAAGAACAGCGCAUAGAGUAACUGUUAUGCGUGUGACGGUAUCUAACCAGAAAGCCACGGCUAACUACGUGCCAGCAGCCGCGGUAAUACGUAGGUGGCAAGCGUUGUCCGGAUUUAUUGGGCGUAAAGCGAGCGCAGGCGGUCAAUUAAGUCUGAUGUGAAAGCCCCCGGCUCAACCGGGGAGGGUCAUUGGAAACUGGUUGAAUUGAGUGCAGAAGAGGAGGGGGGAAUUCCAUGUGGAGCGGUGAAAUGCGUAGAUAUAUGGAGGAACACCGGUGGCGAAAGCGGCUCUCUGGUCUGUAACUGACGCUGAGGCUCGAAAGCGUGGGGAGCGAACAGG